rnacentral:rRNA from 1 species
UACGGAGGGUGCGAGCGUUGUCCGGAAUCAUUGGGCGUAAAGGGCGCGUAGGUGGCGGGACAAGCGUGCGGUGAAAGCUCGGGGCUCAACCCCGAGUCGGCCGUGCGAACUGUUUUGCUUGAGCACUGUAGAGGCAGGCGGAAUUCCGGGUGUAGCGGUGAAAUGCGUAGAUAUCGUAAGGAAGACCAGUGGCGAAGGCGGGUCUCUGGACAGUUCCUGACGCUGAGGCACGAAGGCCAGGGGAGCAAACGGG